AUGCAGAUGGGUUCUCUACCUGGCCUGUGCCUUGUUGCCUGUUCCUUUACUGUACAUGUGAUGACAAGAAAAGAAGAUGGACCCUCCAUGUUGAACAUGCCUGAUAAAACUCUGCAAAGACAAUGUCUAGCACUUAUAUCUCCAGUAACUCCUGUCAAGGUUUAUUGUUGCUUGUUCAUCAUUGCAGUCCUGACUACAAGUGUGAUUGCACUUUCUAUUGUUUUGUCAGCAAGAAAGGAAAAGCCAGUGGUAGAGUCAUCUAAAUACGCUGCUUGCCCAAAAAGCUGAAUUAGAUUUAGGAGUAAAUGUUUUUAUUUUUCUGAAGGCAUAAGAAAUUAGACAUUGAGUCAAACGUUCUGUGUCUCAUUAGAAGCCAGCCUUGCUCAGUUUGCAACUAUGGAGGAACUGAAUUUCCUGAAAAGAUACAAAGGCCCUUCUGACCAUUGGAUUGGCCUUAGAAGAGAAUCAUCCCAUCGCAUUUGGAAAUGGACAGACAACAUGGAAUAUAAUAACAUGCUUGCUAUCAGAGGAAGUGGAGAAUGUGCCUUCCUGAAUGACAAUGGAGUCAACAGUGGCAGAAUCUACAUGAACAGAAAAUGGAUUUGUAGCAAGCCAAACAAUUAUGUCUACAGUUGCCAGUUAUGUCCCCACUGGGAUACUACCUAGUAGAGCUGUGAGAAGAGGGCCACCAUCCUCCAGACUCCAGAAUGGUGGAAUCAGCAGCAGCUUCCACCAUGCCCCUGGAAAAACUGCAAGUAACAGACCUGCACAUGUAUCCCCUACAUCUAAAAUAAAAGUUGGAAAAAAUGGAA
ensembl:lncRNA novel transcript